rnacentral:rRNA from 1 species
UACGGGGGGGGGCAAGCGUUGUUCGGAAUUACUGGGCGUAAAGGGCUCGUAGGCGGCCAACUAAGUCAGACGUGAAAUCCCUCGGCUUAACCGGGGACUGCGUCUGAUACUGGAUGGCUAGAGUUUGGGAGAGGGAUGCGGAAUUCCAGGUGUAGCGGUGAAAUGCGUAGAUAUCUGGAGGAACACCGGUGGCGAAGGCGGCAUCCUGGACCAACACUGACGCUGAGAUGCGAAA